GAUAUCAGGGUCAAAAGCUCAAAAAGUCGUUCGCGCUUGCACGAUAAGACUUUUGAACUUGGGACCCGCCAAACAUGAGAAAGUAGCGAUUUACGAAGUAAAUCAGCGGAUUUCGAAUGUUUGAGAAUUGCGGGAGCUGCUUUGCAGCGGAGCAAUUCGGGGAUAU
rnacentral:sRNA from 1 species